GAAGCGUCGCCAGCUCCGAAGGCCCCGCUGGGGCGGGACGUGCAGGGCCGGGCUGGUCCCGGUUCGCUCCCGCCCGGAGCUGUCCCCGGCGCUUUGCCGAGGCUGAGCGCGGCAUCUGAUGCUCCAAAACUGGUAAGGAGGGUGGCUGGUUCCUGGGGAAGUCAUCUUGGGCAGAAGAAGGUGGACUAUUAAGCCCAAGAGCUCUGCAAGACCUAGAGACAUCAUAUUUCUUCCUUAUAAAACUGCUGUACAAGAAUGAAAGCAUGGAAGCAUUUUAGAAAACAACACAUGGAAUUUUUUUUCCCAGAGAUGGAAUUUCUCUGGAAUCCCCACUUUGAUGCUUCCCCAUUCACUGCCCUCCAACUCCAUGCAUUGAAGAGGAGGAGCUCAGAGAGACAAAAAGCUUUGCCUUUGCCCCCCUCUGCUGCAGCCUGGACCCUGCAGGACUGGGUUCUUUGUAGUUCUCAGUGUGGCUUCUCCCCUGCUGCUCACUCUGAGUGCUGCUGUCUAGCCAGUUAUCUUUGCAGGUUUUAGCACUCUGUUUAUUGUUAGCUCCACUGAAUCUCCUGUGAAUUUCCUCUGUUGCUAAAUCGGAAAAGCCCUAUGAAAAUGAGGUUCAUACAAACCUGCUCUGGGAUUGGAGAUCACUGUAAUUGGUGGUGAGACCAAUGGUGGUACAUCUGAAACAGUUCUCAGCUUUUUUGAGCUCAUGUAACUUCUGCAGUGGAAGGGAAAGCCCGUAUGUUCUAAAAAAAAACCCAGUGUAUGUUCCAGUCUCAUUUUAAGCACACUUGGUCUGUUUGUUACAUUGGCCUUCAUGAUGCCUCACUUAAAGACAGUCCAACAUUCAGUUCUUUCAUGUCACUCUUGGGCCUUGACAAGUUUCAUCCCAGCUCCUGAUGAAAACCUCCUCCUGGACCUGCAGCACAGAGAUCUUCAAAGAGGGAGGGGGAAGAAUUGGCAGGAGCAAAAUAAAGCAGGGCUGCAGAGCAACAUGGGUCUUGUGACGCCCUUCCUCACAGCCCUUCCUCACAGCAGUGGCUUCUCUGUGAUGUUGCAUCAUUUCUAAAAAUAGAACUUCAGGUCCUCGGGGAAAUUGCAUUUCUAUUUUGUUCUGUGAAGUGCC